AGUCGUAACAAGGUUUCCGUAGGUGAACCUGCGGAAGGAUCAUUACUAAAUCCAUCCAUGAUCGAACCAUGUCGAAACGUGUUUUUGUGGCGGCGGAGAGCGAGCAGCUGCUGUAUAGUUUAAUAUACGGCGAUGCGAGCACGACGACGCCCAAAAAUAUUAUAUCACAACCUAUAACACCGAUGUAUCACAAUGACAGUCAUUUAUUAUAUUACAUAUUAUAAAGCAUAACUUUUAACAAUGGAUCUCUUGGCUCUU
rnacentral:misc_RNA from 1 species